rnacentral:rRNA from 1 species
AUGGAGUCCUACUCCUACGCGAACGGGGCCAAAUUUGAUUGCUUGCUGUUUGACAUGGAUGAAACCCUCUACCCACUGAGCUUAGGGAUCAACAUAGCCUGCCGCAAGAACAUCCAAGUUCAAAAUAUAUAUGCAAGAUGUUUGGGAGCUCCACGCCGUCACCCGCCGGCGCACCUCUGCCUCUCCAUGGGCAGUGGAUCCUCCACCGCAGGUCAACCUCAUGGCAGCAGGCAGUUCGACGCUCUCUGUCGUGCUAUGUUCAACGCUCCCUUGAGCUCCACUAGAACUACUUUUCGGCCGCGUCUGCACCUCUGA